AUUGAGCGCUGGCGGCAGGCCUAACACAUGCAAGUCGAGCGGUUGAGGUAGCUUGCUACCGAAGCAGCGGCGAACGGGUGAGUGAUACAUGGGAAUCUGCCUGGUAGUGGGGGACAACGUUUCGAAAGGAACGCUAAUACCGCAUACGCCCUACGGGGGAAAGGGGGGGAUCGCAAGACCUCUCGCUAUCAGAUGAGCCCAUGUCAGAUUAGCUGGUUGGUGAGGUAAAGGCUCACCAAGGCGACGAUCUGUAACUGGUCUGAGAGGAUGAUCAGUCACACUGGAACUGAGACACGGUCCAGACUCCUACGGGAGGCAGCAGUGGGGAAUAUUGGACAAUGGGGGCAACCCUGAUCCAGCCAUGCCGCGUAUGUGAAGAAGGCCUUAGGGUUGUAAAGCACUUUCAGUGGGGAGAAAGGUGAUUCACCUAAUACGUGAGUCAAUUGAUGCUACCCACAGAAGAAGCACCGGCUAACUCCGUGCCAGCAGCCGCAGUAA
rnacentral:rRNA from 1 species